rnacentral:rRNA from 1 species
AACGAACGCUGGCGGCGUGCUUAACACAUGCAAGUCGAACGAUGAAGCUGGAGCUUGCUCCAGUGGAUUAGUGGCGAACGGGUGAGUAACACGUGAGCAAUCUGCCCUUGACUCUGGGAUAACUGCGGGAAACUGUAGCUAAUACCGGAUACGACACCUUGGGGCAUCCCGGGGUAUGGAAAGAAUUUCGGUCAAGGAUGAGCUCGCGGCCUAUCAGCUUGUUGGUGAGGUAAAGGCUCACCAAGGCGACGACGGGUAGCCGGCCUGAGAGGGUGACCGGCCACACUGGAACUGAGACACGGUCCAGACUCCUACGGGAGGCAGCAGUGGGGAAUAUUGCACAAUGGGCGAAAGCCUGAUGCAGCAACGCCGCGUGAGGGAUGACGGCCUUCGGGUUGUAAACCUCUUUUAGCAGGGAAGAAGCGAAAGUGACGGUACCUGCAGAAAAAGCACCGGCUAACUACGUGCCAGCAGCCGCAGUAA